rnacentral:rRNA from 1 species
UGGGGAAUAUUGCACAAUGGGCGCAAGCCUGAUGCAGCAACGCCGCGUGAAGGAAGACGGUUUUCGGAUUGUAAACUUCUGUUCUUAGUGAAGAAUAAUGACGGUAGCUAAGGAGCAAGCCACGGCUAACUACGUGCCAGCAGCCGCGGUAAUACGUAGGUGGCAAGCGUUGUCCGGAAUUACUGGGUGUAAAGGGAGCGCAGGCGGGUGAUCAAGUCAGCUGUGAAAACUACGGGCUUAACCCGUAGACUGCAGUUGAAACUGUUCAUCUUGAGUGAAGUAGAGGUUGGCGGAAUUCCGAGUGUAGCGGUGAAAUGCGUAGAUAUUCGGAGGAACACCGGUGGCGAAGGCGGCCAACUGGGCUUUAACUGACGCUGAGGCUCGAAAGUGUGGGGAGCAAACAGGAUUAGAUACCCUGGUAGUCCACACUGUAAACGAUGAUUGCUAGGUGUGGGGGGUCUGACCCCUUCCGUGCCGGAGCUAACGCAAUAAGCAAUCCACCUGGGGAGUACGACCGCAAGGUUGAAACUCAAAGGAAUUGACGGGGACCCGCACAAGCAGUGGAUUAUGUGGUUUAAUUCGAAGCAACGCGAAGAACCUUACCAGCACUUGACAUCCAACUAACGAAAUAGAGAUAUAUUAGGUGCCCUUCGGGGAAAGUUGAGACAGGUGGUGCAUGGUUGUCGUCAGCUCGUGUCGUGAGAUGUUGGGUUAAGUCCCGCAACGAGCGCAACCCUCGCCAUUAGUUGCUACGCAAGAGCACUCUAAUGGGACCGCUACCGACAAGGUGGAGGAAGGUGGGGACGACGUCAAAUCAUCAUGCCCCUUAUGUGCUGGGCUACACACGUAAUACAAUGGCCAUCAACAGAGAGAAGCAAUACCGCGAGGUGGAGCAAAACUUCAAAAAUGGUCUCAGUUCGGACUGCAGGCUGCAACCCGCCUGCACGAAGUUGGAAUUGCUAGUAAUCGUGGAUCAGCAUGCCACGGUGAAUACGUUCCC